AAAUUAAUGAUGUGAUUGUAGUUGAAAAAAUUAUCAGUUUGUCUGAUACAAUGGUUGAGGGGCAUCAAGUCGAUGCACCUAUACUGUUGGUAGAAAAUAAUGUGGACGAAGAGCAUGAAGAGUUAGGAUCUGAGGACAAUAUCACAUCAGAUGAUGAGAAUGAUAUGGAUAAAGAGCAUGGAGAUUUUGAAUAUUUUUUUUUUGUAAUUUUACUUAAUGAAACAUUGUAUUGAAUGUGUUAAUGAAUAUAUAUUG
rnacentral:lncRNA from 1 species